rnacentral:rRNA from 1 species
UGGGGAAUAUUGGACAAUGGGCGAAAGCCUGAUCCAGCCAUGCCGCGUGUGUGAAGAAGGCCUUAUGGUUGUAAAGCACUUUAAGUGGGGAGGAAAAGCUUAUGGAUAAUACCCAUAGGUUCUGACGUUACCCACAGAAUAAGCACCGGCUAACUCUGUGCCAGCAGCCGCGGUAAUACAGAGGGUGCGAGCGUUAAUCGGAAUUACUGGGCGUAAAGCGAGCGUAGGUGGUUUAUUAAGUCAGAUGUGAAAUCCCUGGGCUUAACCUAGGAACUGCAUCUGAUACUGAUAAACUAGAGUAGGUGAGAGGAAAGUAGAAUUCCAGGUGUAGCGGUGAAAUGCGUAGAUAUCUGGAGGAAUACCGAUGGCGAAGGCAGCUUUCUGGCAUCAUACUGACACUGAGGUUCGAAAGCGUGGGUAGCAAACAGGAUUAGAUACCCUGGUAGUCCACGCCGUAAACGAUGUCUACCAGUCGUUGGGUCUUUUAAAGACUUAGUGACGCAGUUAACGCAAUAAGUAGACCGCCUGGGGAGUACGGCCGCAAGGUUA